GACAGAGGCCCCAAGCGUUAGUCGGAAUUACUGGGCUUAAAGGGUGCGUAGGCGGGCGCGUAAGUGUUCUGUGAAAUCCCACGGCUCACCUCGUGGAACUGCUGGGCAUACUGGCGAUCUUGGGCCAACUAGGGGCAGCCGGAACAAGCGGUGGAGCGGUGAAAUGCGUAGAUAUCGCUUGGAACGCCGAAGGUGAAAACAGGCUGCUGGGGUUGUGCCGACGCUGAGACACGAAAGCCAGGGGAGCAAACGGG
rnacentral:rRNA from 1 species